UACGUAGGUGGCGAGCGUUAUCCGGAAUGAUUGGGCGUAAAGGGUGCGUAGGCGGCCUGCUAAGUCUGGAGUGAAAGGUACCGGCUCAACCGGUACAGGCUCUGGAAACUGGCGGGCUAGAGAGCAGGAGAGGGCGGUGGAACUCCAUGUGUAGCGGUAAAAUGCGUAGAUAUCACGCAGAACUCCGAUUGCGAAGGCAGCAUACCGGCGCGCAACUGACGCUCAUGCACGAAAGCGUGGGUAUCGAACAGG
rnacentral:rRNA from 1 species